rnacentral:rRNA from 1 species
CACGUAGGCGGACUUUUAAGUCAGGGGUGAAAUCCCGGGGCUCAACCCCGGAACUGCCUUUGAUACUGGAAGUCUUGAGUAUGGUAGAGGUGAGUGGAAUUCCGAGUGUAGAGGUGAAAUUCGUAGAUAUUCGGAGGAACACCAGUGGCGAAGGCGGCUCACUGGACCAUUACUGACGCUGAGGUGCGAAAGCGUGGGGAGCAAACA